rnacentral:rRNA from 1 species
UACGAAGGGGGCUAGCGUUGUUCGGAUUUACUAGGCGUAAAGCGCACGUAGGCGGAUCGUUAAGUCGGGGGUGAAAUCCUGGAGCUCAACUCCAGAACUGCCUUCGAUACUGGCGAUCUCGAGUCCGGGAGAGGUGAGUGGAACUGCGAGUGUAGAGGUGAAAUUCGUAGAUAUUCGCAAGAACACCAGUGGCGAAGGCGGCUCACUGGCCCGGUACUGACGCUGAGGUGCGAAAGCGUGGGGAGCAAACAGG